GAGCAAUCUGAAGUGUAUUCAUUGUGAUAAUGAAGCAAAGUUUAGGUGCAGCGAUUGUGGUCCAAUGGCAAAGUAUUGUGAGAACUGUAUGUUAAAGAUGCACACAACCGUAAAUAUUUGUCAUCAUGUUGAAAUAUUUAAGGAUGGCAUGUUUUGGCCAUAUAAACUCAUGAACAUGCUGGUGUAUGAUUGUUCAUGCCAAACAGCUCGUCACAAAAGAAGUGUUUCUGUUGUUGAUGUUAAAGGCACCUUUUGUACUGUUGAGAAUUUACAGACAUAAACUAAACAUGUUGAGCUGUGUUAUUCCUGAGCUUGAUGAAGGAAAUAUCUGUCCUACUUGUCCCAAAACUGAUGGUGUGAUCUUUGAGUCUCUUGAUGCUCUAUUUAUUGGAUGAAGGAAAAAGCUGGGCAGAGUCUUGGAAAACCUCUAUUUGGACAGCUGAUGUUCUAUGAUCAGACACAUGUUGAUCAAUUUGUUGCCAAUUAUACCACACCUACAUCAAACAAGG